rnacentral:lncRNA from 1 species
UCUUACCUUUUUUUUUUUUAACUUUAAUUUAAAUCCACACAUGCUUAAUUUUAAAAGCUAAAAUAUUAGAAAACUUAGCAUUCACUUGAUGUUUUUUAAAAAGUACAAGAAAGUUUUGAAGGGCAAUGCAAAGGCUAUUUUGAAUUUUGAUGAGUUAUAUACAAUGAGAUCAUGUCUCAAUUAGAACAUGAACAUGGGCCUAAGGGACGGUAUAUGUGGGCAUACCCAACUGGAUGUAUUAAGUAAAAUCUCAUUCUGUCUGUUUACACCCACACCCAGUCCCAACAAGCAAAUUGUAUUCAAACCAAAAAUCUUAUCAAAUAAUAAGACGUUAAAUGUCGAAUUUAACUUUUUUAUUUUUUGCGUGCACCCAAAUUGAAUCUUUUGGUGGAUCUUCACAAAGAAUAUGACAAUAGAUAUAAAAAAAAAAAUUGAGUUGGAAGCUAUCCAAACAUUUUUAACGACAAGCGGUUUUUUGAUGAAUUUUGAAUGAUAAAGAGAGAAAUGAACAAUUUAUUGAAACAACAGUAUUGCUCAUUAAUUUUCUCAUUAAAAUUGCUAUAAGCAAUGUACAAAUUUGCACAUCCUCAUGAAAUUAAAUUUUGGAUCUGGCCUGAUUUGAGAUGCAUUAUUCUAUUAAUGAUUUGGUCCUAUGUGUGCAUUAAUAACAAUCUUACACGCAUAGUUAUCUAAUAGCUUUCAAUUACGCAAGUUCACAACAUUGUAAAAAGUAUAAACUUUGAAUCCUAGUCCUAGGAUAUUAUUUAUUUAUUUCAAUCAUUUUAUACAUACAUUUUAAAAUACACCUAAGAUACCACAUUAGUUAUAAUACGAGUAAAUGAUAUUUGCAAUGUCUGUAUUUAUUUUGAAAAAUAAUUCUGCAAGUGAUAGUUGUAUUAAAUUCAAUUACAUAUGUAAUACAUUCGGUCAAUACUAUUAAGAAUAAAUGCUUGUUUUAUCCUUAUAUUUUGACUUAAGAUUCGGUUUAGUCUUUAUUUUUUAAAAAUCACCUUAAGACACCCAUAUUGUUAAAUAUAUUAUGUUCCUACCCUUAAUUGUUAUUUCUUUUUUUUUUACAAUAAUACCCUUACAACAAUAUUAUUGGGAAUAUAAAUGAAAAGAAAAAAUAUUAAUUCAUAAAAAAGCCUUAAAA